rnacentral:rRNA from 1 species
UGAGGGAAAGGCGAAAAGAACCCCGGCGAGGGGAGUGAAAAAGAACCUGAAACCGUGUACGUACAAGCAGUGGGAGCCCCACCACUAAGCCAGUGGUGAACUCCACAUCCGCAUCCUUUGCUGAGGAUACGGUUAACGGAGCGAAAGCGACGUUCAACCGCAAAACAAGCAGAGGGGGCUUAGUGGUGGGGUGACUGCGUACCUUUUGUAUAAUGGGUCAGCGACUUAUAUUCUGUAGCAAGGUUAACCGAAUAGGGGAGCCGGAGGGAAACCGAGUCUUAAUUGGGCGUUAAGUUGCAGGGUAUAGACCCGAAACCCGGUGAUCUAGCCAUGGGCAGGUUGAAGGUUGGGUAACACUAACUGGAGGACCGAACCGACUAAUGUUGAAAAAUUAGCGGAUGACCUGUGGCUGGGGGUGAAAGGCCAAUCAAACCGGGAGAUAGCUGGUUCUCCCCGAAAGCUAUUUAGGUAGCGCCUCGUGAAUUCAUCUCCGGGGGUAGAGCACUGUUUCGGCUAGGGGGCCAUCCCGGCUUACCAACCCGAUGCAAACUGCGAAUACCGGAGAAUGUUAUCACGGGAGACACACGGCGGGUGCUAACGUCCGUCGUGAAGAGGGAAACAACCCAGACCGCCAGCUAAGGUCCCAAAGUCAUGGUUAAGUGGGAAACGAUGUGGGAAGGCCCAGACAGCCAGGAUGUUGGCUUAGAAGCAGCCAUCAUUUAAAGAAAGCGUAAUAGCUCACUGGUCGAGUCGGCCUGCGCGGAAGAUGUAACGGGGCUAAACCAUGCACCGAAGCUGCGGCAGCGAACGUAUCACCCAAGACAACUUUACGGAGUUGACGAUUGACGGAGCGAAGCGACGUCAAAGCGUUCAUUAAAGUCGAGUUGGCUUAGGGAUACGUUCGUUGGGUAGGGGAGCGUUCUGUAAGCCUGUGAAGGUGUGUCGUGAGGCAUGCUGGAGGUAUCAGAAGUGCGAAUGCUGACAUAAGUAACGAUAAAGCGGGUGAAAAGCCCGCUCGCCGGAAGACCAAGGGUUCCUGUCCAACGUUAAUCGGGGCAGGGUGAGUCGACCCCUAAGGCGAGGCCGAAAGGCGUAGUCGAUGGGAAACGGGUUAAUAUUCCCGUACUUGGUGUUACUGCGAAGGGGGGACGGAGAAGGCUAUGUUGGCCGGGCGACGGUUGUCCCGGUUUAAGCGUGUAGGUGUGUGUUCCAGGUAAAUCCGGUUCACUUUAACACUGAGGCGUGACGACGAGGCACUACGGUGCUGAAGCAACAAAUGCCCUGCUUCCAGGAAAAGCCUCUAAGCAUCAGGUAACAUCAAAUCGUACCCCAAACCGACACAGGUGGUCAGGUAGAGAAUACCAAGGCGCUUGAGAGAACUCGGGUGAAGGAACUAGGCAAAAUGGUGCCGUAACUUCGGGAGAAGGCACGCUGACACGUAGGUGAAGUGAUUUACUCAUGGAGCUGAAGUCAGUCGAAGAUACCAGCUGGCUGCAACUGUUUAUUAAAAACACAGCACUGUGCAAACACGAAAGUGGACGUAUACGGUGUGACGCCUGCCCGGUGCCGGAAGGUUAAUUGAUGGGGUCAGCGCAAGCGAAGCUCCUGAUCGAAGCCCCGGUAAACGGCGGCCGUAACUAUAACGGUCCUAAGGUAGCGAAAUUCCUUGUCGGGUAAGUUCCGACCUGCACGAAUGGCGUAAUGAUGGCCAGGCUGUCUCCACCCGAGACUCAGUGAAAUUGAACUCGCUGUGAAGAUGCAGUGUACCCGCGGCAAGACGGAAAGACCCCGUGAACCUUUACUAUAGCUUGACACUGAACAUUGAGCCUUGAUGUGUAGGAUAGGUGGGAGGCUUUGAAGUGUGGACGCCAGUCUGCAUGGAGCCGACCUUGAAAUACCACCCUUUAAUGUUUGAUGUUCUAACGUGGACCCGUAAUCCGGGUUGCGGACAGUGUCUGGUGGGUAGUUUGACUGGGGCGGUCUCCUCCUAAAGAGUAACGGAGGAGCACGAAGGUUGGCUAAUCCUGGUCGGACAUCAGGAGGUUAGUGCAAUGGCAUAAGCCAGCUUGACUGCGAGCGUGACGGCGCGAGCAGGUGCGAAAGCAGGUCAUAGUGAUCCGGUGGUUCUGAAUGGAAGGGCCAUCGCUCAACGGAUAAAAGGUACUCCGGGGAUAACAGGCUGAUACCGCCCAAGAGUUCAUAUCGACGGCGGUGUUUGGCACCUCGAUGUCGGCUCAUCACAUCCUGGGGCUGAAGUAGGUCCCAAGGGUAUGGCUGUUCGCCAUUUAAAGUGGUACGCGAGCUGGGUUUAGAACGUCGUGAGACAGUUCGGUCCCUAUCUGCCGUGGGCGCUGGAGAACUGAGGGGGGCUGCUCCUAGUACGAGAGGACCGGAGUGGACGCAUCACUGGUGUUCGGGUUGUCAUGCCAAUGGCACUGCCCGGUAGCUAAAUGCGGAAGAGAUAAGUGCUGAAAGCAUCUAAGCACGAAACUUGCCCCGAGAUGAGUUCUCCCUGAGACUUAGAGUCUCCUGAAGGAACGUUGAAGACGACGACGUUGAUAGGCCGGGUGUGUAAGCGCAGCGAUGCGUUGAGCUAACCGGUACUAAUGAACCGUGAGGCUUAACCUUACAACGCCGAAG